GGGGCCGUGGGGUAGCUUGGCAUCCUUCCGGCUUCGGGUGAAGGGGCACCAAAGUUCCCCUUUCAAAACCCUUCCUUGCCCCAACCGGAAAAGCCGGAGACUCGAGUUCAAAUCUCGGCGGCCCCA
rnacentral:tRNA from 1 species